rnacentral:rRNA from 4 species
CACAUGACUCUCGGCAACGGAUAUCUCGGCUCUCGCAUCGAUGAAGAACGUAGCAAAAUGCGAUACCUGGUGUGAAUUGCAGAAUCCCGUGAACCAUCGAGUUUUUGAACGCAAGUUGCGCCCGAGGCCUUUUGGUCGAGGGCACGUCUGCCUGGGCGUCACGC